AAAUAUAUUAUUCACAAAUGAUACAUAAAGUUGGAAGCUUUAUGCAGAUAGGAUUAUAUCAUUAUUAGGAUUUGUUUAACACAUAUUGAACAUGACCACAAAGAUGAUUUAUUCGUGAUCGUUAGGAAUAAGACUCUAUUUGAUCAUCGAAGGAGUCACUUAAAUCCUAAGCCAGUAAUGUACCUUUAAUUAGUAACUCAAAUUCUUUGAGAGCCAAUGAAUGAAAUCUUGAUUGGAACAUUGAUCUCAGUACUUUGUGAAACAGUGCAAAUGAUUUCACAUAAAAAAAAAAUUAAUCAUUUCAUUGAGAUAUAAUUAUUCUAAGAGAUUUUCUAGUGGGAAUGGAAUCCGAGCUCAGUAAUCUGAUAACAAGAACAAAUUGACUUGUGGCCAUGAGUCGAUCUUUCGAGCAGACUUUUUUGCAUUGCUCUUUCUCAAAACGAGCUAAGAAUGUAUUAGCACAACUUGUACCCCUUCUUCCAAAGGCCAAAAAGAUUCAUCCUCGAAUCAAAACGGGCAUAAUCGGACGAUAAGUUACUCACACAACCAAUUACUUGACAUUGAAGACAUUAACAGUAUGAACAUGGCUAGGUAGCUUCAGAUAGUAAGUGUUGUAGUUGAUCUUCUCAAAAAUGUCAACAAAACCAAUCUUCUUGGAAGCGCAACUUGUUGAGGGAGAUAUUUGGCUACUAGGAAAGAAAUAUUUGAAUUUACAUGCCCUCCUC
rnacentral:lncRNA from 1 species